UAAAUCUGUUCCAAUUAAUGCCUGUUCGAUGCUCAGGUGGCUGCCAGAACUGCUGCUUGUCAGGAACUGCAAGAAAAGAUCAAAGAAAUGUAAACAAUUGACAAUCUAACAAGAGGGCAUUGUCCCCCCCUCCUGGAAACUCACUACGCAGAAGAACUUAAGUGUAUAAUAAUAGGCUUUGGAAGGAGGCAUCUUCACCGGCUGCUCAGGAUACCCUGCCAAUGUGCACAGAUCUGGAUUGAUAAGGGGCAGUAAGGAGAUGCUCAAAUGCUCCGUCAAGUCGAGGCUGAAAGCCUACCAGCUCAAGGUUUUCCGUGUUGGGAUCCAUUGGCAGAAUUAUUUGUAAUAAGAAGGUGGUUGUAGGCUACCUAUUUCCUCUGAGGGUGCUAACCUAGUUCGGGUCAUGGCUGCCUGAUGAGAAGUUCUAGUCCCACCUCAUACUUCAAGGACACUGGCUUGAAGAGGCCUAAUUAUGCCACGGACACAAGCAAAGACCGUGAAACAGACCCUUCUGGGUAGUAUGUUUUAGUAUAAUUGCCUCUUCCAGAUUUUCUCAAGGAAAAAACAUUUGCUUUUUGGCAUUAGGUCUUAGUAUUAGGACAGCUUACAGACUGUGGGCAAAGGCUUUGUGAAAACAGGCAUAUUGAGGCAUAAGGUUAGGCUUUUUUUUAGGUGAAAAUAAAAUUUGGAUUUAAAAAUUGCA